rnacentral:rRNA from 1 species
AUUGAACGCUGGCGGCGUGCCUAAUACAUGCAAGUCGAACGGAGUGGCUCACGGGUGAGUAAUGUAUAGCUAAUCUGCCCUACACUAGAGGACAACAGCUGGAAACGACUGCUAAUACUCUAUAGUGUAGGAUGAGGCUAUAUUGUAUCAGCUAGCUGGUGAGGUAAUGGCUCACCAAGGCUAUGACGCAUAACUGGUGUGAGAGGAUGAUCAGUCACACUGGAACGGAGACACGGUCCAGACUCCUUCGGGAAGCAGCAGUAGGGUAUAUUGCUCAAUGGGGGAAAACCUGAAGCAGCAACGCCGCGUGGAGUAUUACACUUUUCGGAGAGUAAACUCCUUUUGAUAGGGAAGCGGUACCUAACGAAUAAGCACCGGCUAACUCCGUGCCAGCCGCCGCGGUAAUUC